AUGCUGCAUACAUCAUUUCUAAUGUGGAGGCCACGUGGUCUGGGUCUGUUCAUGACUCCAGGAUUUAUGGAGAGUCUAACCUGAGCAACAGACUGCAGCGUGGAGAGUUUGAUGGCCUUCUGCUGGGUGACAGGGGUUACCAUGACAACCCAGGCUGAUGACCUCAUACCCUGACCCUGAACCAGGCCCCCAACAGAACUUCAACCGGGCUCACUGCAGGACCAGAGCCCGGGUGGAGAUGACCAUAGGCCUGCUGAAAGCCCGUUUCCAGAGCCUACGUCUCCUCAGGGUGACCCCUGAGAGGGCCUGUGAUAUUACUGUGGCAUGUGUUGUUCUUCAUAAUAUUACCACUAUUAGAGGAGAGCAACACCCUGCCCUACAAACUGAAGACCCAGAUGAUGAGCCCAUCCACCUGCAGCUAUCCAGGACAGCAGAGCAGUCAGAGACACCGUAUGCAAUAAUCACUUUAGAGUUUAAGUCUCCAUCAUCACCACCACAGCAAAUAAAGACAUGAUACACAUUU